GAACUAUAAGGUUUCGUGGGGGUAGGUAUUGCUUAUAACUUUAAUAGGGAAGCAUUAUUUCCAUUGUAAAUGAUAAAAAAUGCGAAUGUCACAAAAUACUUCGAGUAAAUCUAGUUACGCGUGCACGCACUCUUUAGUAAAACCCUGAAACGCUCCAGGAUGAAACAAAAUUCGAGGGAUUUUCUGCUUUUGUGUAGUCGACUUCCCGUAGAGCGACCAAAAUAAAAUUCAGUCAUUCCAUUGAGACUAGAAAUACAAGACGUUUAGAGACGAAUCUGUGCAGAAUUCUACUCCACUUAUAAACCUAUUGAUACAUCAUGCCAAAUUUAUGCCCCCAUCGGCAUGGAAGACACACGCGGGAUGAAAGACUUCGCUUGUUAGCAGCUCGAAGGCGCUUGCAAUGCAGAGUGUCGCUUAGAGUUUUUGACCAGCUACAACAAACUCUACGGCAGGCCGUUUCCGUUGAACUAGAGGGCGUUUUCACACCUGCUAUUGCAGCACUAUUUGCG